AGGGAUUGCCUCAGUAACGGCGAGUGAAGCGGCAACAGCUCAAAUUUGAAAGCUGGCCCCCCCGGGGGUCCGCGUUGUAAUUUGUAGAGGAUGAUUCGGCGAGGGCUCCCGCCUAAGUCCCCUGGAACGGGGCGUCAUAGAGGGUGAGAAUCCCGUAUGCGGUGGGCUGCCUUAGCCAUGUGAAUCUCCUUCGACGAGUCGAGUUGUUUGGGAAUGCAGCUCUAAAUGGGAGGUAAAUUUCUUCUAAAGCUAAAUACCGGCCAGAGACCGAUAGCGCACAAGUAGAGUGAUCGAAAGAUGAAAAGCACUUUGGAAAGAGAGUUAAAAAGUACGUGAAAUUGUUGAAAGGGAAGCGCUUGCAGCCAGACUUGUCCGCAGUUGCUCAGCCGGUCUCCUGACCGGCGCACUCUUCUGCGGCCAGGCCAGCAUCAGUUCGGGCGGUCGGAUAAAGGCCCCGGGAACGUAGCUCCUCUCGGGGAGUGUUAUAGCCCGGGGUGGAAUGCGGCCAGCCUGGACUGAGGAUCUCGCUUCGGCUAGGAUGCUGGCGUAAUGGCUGUAAGCGGCCCGUCUUGAAACACGGACCAAGGAGUCUAACAUCUAUGCGAGUGUUUGGGUGUCAAACCCAUGCGCGUAAUGAAAGUGAACGGAGGUGGGAACCCUCGCGGGUGCACCAUCGACCGAUCCUGAUGUCUUCGGAUGGAUUUGAGUAAGAGCAUAGCUGUUGGGACCCGAAAGAUGGUGAACUAUGCCUGAAUAGGGUGAAGCCAGAGGAAACUCUGGUGGAGGCUCGCAGCGGUUCUGACGUGCAAAUCGAUCGUCAAAUUUGGGUAUAGGGGCGAAAGACUAAUCGAA
rnacentral:rRNA from 1 species